GAACUUCGGUCAGGGAUGAGCUCGCGGCCUAUCAGCUUGUUGGUGAGGUAACGGCUCACCAAGGCGUCGACGGGUAGCCGGCCUGAGAGGGUGACCGGCCACACUGGGACUGAGACACGGCCCAGACUCCUACGGGAGGCAGCAGUGGGGAAUAUUGCACAAUGGGCGAAAGCCUGAUGCAGCAACGCCGCGUGAGGGACGACGGCCUUCGGGUUGUAAACCUCUUUUAGCAGGGAAGAAGCGAAAGUGACGGUACCUGCAGAAAAAGCGCCGGCUAACUACG
rnacentral:rRNA from 2 species